rnacentral:rRNA from 1 species
GAACUUCACAGUUAAGCGUGCUUGACCUGGAGUAGUACUCGGAUGGGUGACUUUUUGGGAAGUCUCCCAGAAAUUGCACAAG